rnacentral:misc_RNA from 1 species
CAGAGUUCUCGCCCUCGCGGGUAGAUCUCCCACCCACUGUUAUUGCUACCGUGUUGCUUUGGCGGGCUGCUGGGCCUAGCCCGGCCGCCGGCUCCGGCUGGCGCGCGCCCGCCAGAGGCCCGACAAAUUCUGAUUGCCAGUGUCGUCUGAGAACUACGUAAUAGUUA